ensembl:lncRNA
CUACAAUACAACAUGACAACACAACUACAUAACACCAUUAAAUACAGUUGGAAUGUAGUUAGAACUCAAACUGUUUCCGUCAAACAGAAAAACAACAAUAAAUCUGGAUCAACACAUUUAUAUUUCUAGAUGCUGCACUUUGCUGUUUCAUUACCCAGACAGCUGUUUAAGGUCAGACCAAGGCAGAGUGUAGUAUCAGUACUUAGGGGUCAUAGGUCAUACCAAGGCAGAGUGUAGUAUCAGUACUUAGGGGUCAUAGGUCAUACCAAGGCAGAGUGUAGUAUCAGUACUUAGGGGUCAUAGUGGUCAUGGCUGAUAUACAUGGACUAGAAAACAAACUUUAAGACCAUUUUUCUAAGAUUCACUGUUUGUGUAGAUGCUGUUUGUCUCUUUAGGACUGUAGUUCAGGUGGUUGUUUGUCUUUGUAGGACAGUAGUUCAGGUGGCUGUUUGUGUAGAUGCUGUUUGUCUUUGUAGGACAGUAGUUCAGGUGGCUGUUUGUGUAGAUGCUGUUUGUCUCUGUAGGACAGUAGUUCAGGUGGCUGUUUGUGUAGAUGCUGUUUGUCUUUGUAGGACAGUAGUUCAGGUGGCUGUUUGUCUUUGUAGGACAGUAGUUCAGGUGGCUGUUUGUCUUUGUAGGACAGUAGUUCAGGUGGCUGUUUGUCUUUGUAGGACAGUAGUUCAGGUGGCUGUUUGUCUUUGUAGGACAGUAGUUCAGGUGGCUGUUUGUCUUUGUAGGACAGUAGUUCAGGUGGCUGUGUGUCUUCGUAGGACAGUAGUUCAGGUGGCUGUUUGUGUAGAUGCUGUUUGUCUUUGUAGGACAGUAGUUCAGGUGGCUGCCCUUGCACUUAGUCUGCCUCCUGCCCCCCCAUCGUCAUGGUUACACCUUCCUGAAUACAAUGACUCCCAUACUUUGCUGAAACCUGUUCUGCCAGUUCAUGUCCUUAAAGUCUAGAAUGUUCCAAUGUGGUUACCCAAAGAGAUGACAAGAUAGUUCACACAUGCAUCUUUCAGGGUAACUGUCAAACAGACAUGUCACAUUUCUGGUUGGUCCAUAA